GUGGCGCAUGCCUGUAAUCCCAGCUACUUGGGAGGCUGAGGCACAAGAAUUGCUUGAACCUGGGAGGUGGAGGUUGCAGAGAGCUGAGAUCACACCACUGCUCUCCAGCCUGGUCAACAGAGUGAGACCAUCUACAGAAAAUAAAAAAAAGAAAAGUUUCCUUUAGCUGGUGAAAAUAUACUUUGGUAUAAUGCAUUAAAGCCUUGCAGCAUUUAUUCAUAUCAGAGUUUGGGAGAGGAAGAUACAUGAGGUUCUAUUAUUAGCGGCAUAGGCCUUCCAGUGACUAUUUCAUAAUGAGUCAACUUAUAUUUUCUACUGGAAGUAGAUCUGGUUGUCAUCAAUCUGCAAUACCUUUGACCAAGGCAACCAGUCAAUUCAGUUAGCUUCACCUAAAGCUACUGUGUCUGUAAUACCUUACUUAACUGUUUACAACUUGUCCAGUGAAAUUGAAUGAAAUUCCUCUAUAAAUGUUCCAAUGGCCCAUCAGGUAGCUGAAGUUUUAAUUAUCUUCCCCGGUUGUAGGUUUGAUAAGUCAAACCUUGGUCAUAAACCAUU
rnacentral:lncRNA from 1 species